UGAAGCGGGAAAAGCUCAAAUUUAAAAUCUGGCGUCCUCCGGGCGUCCGAGUUGUAAUCUGGAGAAGCGUUUUCCGCGUCGGACCGUGUACAAGUCUUCUGGAACGGAGCGUCAUAGAGGGUGAGAAUCCCGUCUCUGACACGGACUACCGAUGCUUUUGUGAUGCGCUCUCGAAGAGUCGAGUUGUUUGGGAAUGCAGCUCAAAAUGGGUGGUAAAUUCCAUCUAAAGCUAAAUAUUGGCCAGAGACCGAUAGCGAACAAGUACCGUGAGGGAAAGAUGAAAAGCACUUUGGAAAGAGAGUUAAACAGUACGUGAAAUUGUUGAAAGGGAAACGCUUGAAGUCAGUCGCGUUGGCCGAGACUCAGCCUGGCUUGCCUGGUGUACUUCUCGGUUGACGGGUCAGCAUCAGUUUUGACCGCUGGAUAAAGGUUGGAGGAAUGUGGCAUCUCUCGGGAUGUGUUAUAGCCUCUGAUUCGCAUACAGCGAUUGGGACUGAGGAACUCAGCACGCCUUUAUGGUCGGGGUUCGCCCACGUAACGUGCUUAGGAUGCUGGCAUAAUGGCUUUAAGCGACCCGUCUUGAAACACGGACCAAGGA
rnacentral:rRNA from 1 species